GUAAACGGGGACCUAAGCCUGCGCUGGAGAGGGGCGCCUGAUGACUCCUCGGACUUUCUCAGCCCGAGGAGGACUGGACCUGCCCUGGGGGUGUCUAAAUCGGGGGUGGUAUGGCCCUCCCCUUGCAGGGUUAAACGUGGAGGGGAGACUGUGGCCCUGCCUUGGGAGCUGGGGUUUCCCCGCCUCGGCAACAGCCUUCUCCUUGUCUUCCACCUCCUGCCAUUCGCAGCGAGGACUCGCGCGAGCGCGCGCGCGCACACACACACACACACACACACACACGCACACACACACACACACACACUUUGGAAUCACCCGGACCCCCUCAAAACGGGUCUCGGCUCCCCACCCCGCUGGCCGCUGGGUGUCGCUAGAGUCUAGCCCACGGCGCGUAUUCCUGGCCCCGCGCUUGGUGGGGGGAAUCGUGGAGGGGUGGAAGGGGGCUUUCCUUGUCGUCACAGUCUGGGGCCACGCAUAGCCCCUCCCCGUUCGUCUUGGGGUACGCUUCCUCCGCCGGGGCUCUAAGGACUCCAUUACUCUAAGCAUGCAGGGCCUCGACCACCUCACACUUCCAUGCAUCCCAAUCCACGCUUUGAUACCAGGAUAAUAGGCCGUGUUGCAGCCUUGGGCCAGGAUUAUCUCAGAUUAAAGGGUGCUCCCUCGGGGGUCAGGCUGGAUAGGAGGAGCUCCAGCCACUCCGGUGAGGGGCGCCUCUUCCUAGUCUCCCCUGGAGCCGACGUUGGAGGCAGUGCCUGGAGAGAGCGAGCGAAGUUCUCCAGAAGGGGGAGGAUUCCCCGGUGCAUGGAGCGGGAAGGGCCAUCGGACAAAAACGUCCUCCCGCUGCCGCCCUUCCCCCUCGCGCUUCAUUCAAACCCGCGAGUGGGCGGGCAGGGGCGGGGGAGUCCCCAUCUCCUACCCCUCCCUCUUCCCCUCCACCCUGGCAGUCCAGCACAUCAGUGGCCGUCACGGCCCGGGCACGCG
rnacentral:lncRNA from 1 species